rnacentral:rRNA from 1 species
GACGAACGCUGGCGGCGUGCUUAACACAUGCAAGUCGAACGAUGAUGCCCAGCUUGCUGGGUGGAUUAGUGGCGAACGGGUGAGUAACACGUGAGUAACCUGCCCCUGACUCUGGGAUAAGCGUUGGAAACGACGUCUAAUACUGGAUAUGAUCACUGGCCGCAUGGUCUGGUGGUGGAAAGAUUUUUUGGUUGGGGAUGGACUCGCGGCCUAUCAGCUUGUUGGUGAGGUAAUGGCUCACCAAGGCGACGACGGGUAGCCGGCCUGAGAGGGUGACCGGCCACACUGGGACUGAGACACGGCCCAGACUCCUACGGGAGGCAGCAGUGGGGAAUAUUGCACAAUGGGCGAAAGCCUGAUGCAGCAACGCCGCGUGAGGGAUGACGGCCUUCGGGUUGUAAACCUCUUUUAGUAGGGAAGAAGCGAAAGUGACGGUACCUGCAGAAAAAGCACCGGCUAACUACGUGCCAGCAGCCGCGGUAAUACGUAGGGUGCAAGCGUUGUCCGGAAUUAUUGGGGCGUAAGAGCUCGUAGGCGGUUUGUCGCGUCUGCUGUGAAAUCCCGAGGCUCAACCUCGGGCUUGCAGUGGGUACGGGCAGACUAGAGUGCGGUAGGGGAGAUUGGAAUUCCUGGUGUAGCGGUGGAAUGCGCAGAUAUCAGGAGGAACACCGAUGGCGAAGGCAGAUCUCUGGGCCGUAACUGACGCUGAGGAGCGAAAGCAUGGGGAGCGAACAGGAUUAGAUACCCUGGUAGUCCAUGCCGUAAACGUUGGGCGCUAGAUGUAGGGACCUUUCCACGGUUUCUGUGUCGUAGCUAACGCAUUAAGCGCCCCGCCUGGGGAGUACGGCCGCAAGGCUAAAACUCAAAGGAAUUGACGGGGGCCCGCACAAGCGGCGGAGCAUGCGGAUUAAUUCGAUGCAACGCGAAGAACCUUACCAAGGCUUGACAUACACCGGAAACGGCCAGAGAUGGUCGCCCCCUUGUGGUCGGUGUACAGGUGGUGCAUGGUUGUCGUCAGCUCGUGUCGUGAGAUGUUGGGUUAAGUCCCGCAACGAGCGCAACCCUCGUUCUAUGUUGCCAGCGGGUUAUGCCGGGGACUCAUAGGAGACUGCCGGGGUCAACUCGGAGGAAGGUGGGGAUGACGUCAAAUCAUCAUGCCCCUUAUGUCUUGGGCUUCACGCAUGCUACAAUGGCCGGUACAAAGGGCUGCGAUACCGUAAGGUGGAGCGAAUCCCAAAAAGCCGGUCUCAGUUCGGAUUGAGGUCUGCAACUCGACCUCAUGAAGUCGGAGUCGCUAGUAAUCGCAGAUCAGCAACGCUGCGGUGAAUACGUUCCCGGGCCU